rnacentral:rRNA from 1 species
GGACUACCCGGGUUUCUAAUCCUGUUUGCUACCCACGCUUUCGUACCUCAGCGUCAGUCGCGGUCCAGUAAGCUGUCUACACCACAGGUGUUCCUCCUGAUAUCUACGCAUUUCACCGCUACACCAGGAAUUCCGCUUACCUCUCCCGCACUCGAGCACUCCAGUUUUCGGCGCACCCUCCCAGUUGAGCCGGGAGAUUUCACACCAAACUUAGAGCACCGCCUACGUACUCUUUACGCCCAGUAAUUCCGAACAACGCUCGCUGCCUACGUAUUACCGCGGCGGCUGGCAC